CAGCGGGGCUCCCAGGGUGAUUCUUGGAGCACGGAGCCAUGCACAGAGUGAUCCCCUGGAAUGGGCACGGAAGGGUCCCAGGAGGCCGGGCACAGGCAAUAAACACCGGCCCCGGCGCCUCUGCUCCCGGGACUGGGGGUGCUCGGCUGUCCUGGACGUGUGGGCUCAGCAAGGAGGGCACCUGGACAGUGACAUCCACAUCCACUGGCACUGCCAUCAAGGUUAUUCCAGAGGCAAGGGAAACACACUGCCUCCCACAGUCAUCAGGAAACCCCUCCUGCUCCUGCUCACCAACGGCACCUGCAGAGCAUCGUCUCCAAAGAUGGAAACCUGAUGGGAACCAGAGAUGAGGGGCUGGUCCUGAGGCAGGGGACAGGGACAGGAGGGUUUUGGGGGUAACCUGCCCCCAGCAUGAGCCGCAGCUGCUGCUGCAACAUCAGG